GGGGAGGUUCCGUGUUCUUCUGACCUUCCGAUGGGGACAAGACACAGGAGAACAUCUCACUGGAGGCUGUGGAGGGCUGAAGACCACAUAGCUCCAUUGGCCUGGAUGAAACUGGGACUCCUGCUCUGAGAGCAGACACAGCUAUUUCAAGAGGCCUCGGGAAAACCAUAUUUCAUGAAUUAAACAUCAAAAUAUUUACAAGAAAUAAACAAGUGCAAGCAGUCCUGGCUUCUGGAUGAGGUGAUGGAGGCAUCGGAUGGACCGUGAUUCCUCUGGAUGCUUCCUUCCCACCCCUUGGGCACGGCCCAGCUUCCACCCAACAAACCUUUCCCUGAGCGUGGGGAAUCAUAAGGGCCACGUUUACUGAACAGCUACUUUGCCUGGCUCACUGAACUGCCAGCGGGCAAGCUGUGACUGUCCCAUUUACAGAAGAGGCUCCCUCCUUUCCCAGGUCAUGAAAAGACAUUCCAUCAAGAGCAAAGAGGUGAUGGAACAGUAUUAAGUGUCAACCCUCCUCCCCCAGGGUGACCACAGUUAAUCCUCCUGCGGCCAGUAAGGUGGGUCACUGUUUACAGCCAAGAGAACUGGGCUCAGAGGCGGGUCAGGAAAGUUCAUUUCACUCGAAAAUGACCCAGACUUGCCUGACCACAGCCUUCCUCCUCCCCUCUGUCCCGUGACAGCUCUGAAACCAGCUCUGUGCUUUUGACUUUCUGAGACGGUGAGAAUCUGUGAAGCAAGUUGAGGAGGUCCCUGGGGAACCUCCAGACAUGGGGAAGAGAGCCGGUCGCAGCCAUCGUCACCUCCUGAAUGUGGCGGUGACCAGCAUCUGGGUCGAUGACCUUCCUGAGGAUGAGAGGGGUCACGGAGUCCUCAAGCUGCUCCCAGGCCAGCCGCACUUGAUGCAGAACCUGCUUCUACAGCCAUGGAGGAGCUGGUACCCACCAGACUCCCCAGUGCCAGGUGCUGGCUUCUCCUCACAGCAGCAGGACUGGUGGCUCCUUGAGGCCGGGCUGAGUGUGGGUCACUCUCUAAAGGCACAGCUCCGGGGAGGCUCUGGGUGAUGGGGGACAGUCCUCGUCCUCCUGUGGAAUCAAGGUCUGUUCCCCACAGCUUCCCCGGGCCUCCCUCUGGGGUCUUAUGGGACAAAGCCAAGGAACGUCCAGGAAAUCGGGGCUAUUAAGGCCUGUCUCAUGGGUUGUCAUGAGGGUUCAAGAGCAGAGUGUCUGGUUCAGCUCCGGCUCGGUCGUUACCAGCUGUGUGAGCUUGGAUAAGUCAUUUAUCUUCUUCGUGCCUCAACUUCCUCAUCUGUCAAAUGGGGAUAAUCGUUACUUUCUCAUAGGUUUGUUGUGAGCAGCGGAUGAAUUCCUCCGCGUGGCUCACUUGGAGCAGAGCCCCGAGCUCAGGUGGGAAGGGCUCGGUAAUAACACAGUAAUUGUUCCCGUUAUUAUUUGACACUACUGUUUUUCUUUCAAUUUUUUUAUUAUGGUAACGUACAUAUAAAAUUUACCUUCUUAACCAUUUUUAAGUAUCCAGUUCAGUGGUAUUAAAUACACUCAAUGUUGUGCAGCCGUUGCCACCAUCCAUCGCCAUAACUUUUCACCUGUUAUGAUGAAACUCUACGCCCGUUAAACACUAUCUCCCCAUUCUCCCCUCCGCCAGCCCCUGGCAGCCCCCACUCUCCUCUCUGUCUCUGUGAUUGUGGCCACUCUACGUAUCUCAUUUAAGUGGAAUCAUACAGUAUUUGUCUUUUUGUGACUGGCUUAUUUCACUUAGCAUACCUUCAGGUCCAUCUGUGUGGUAGUCUGUGUCACAAUUUCCUCCCAUUUUAAGGCUCAAUAAAUAUUCCAUUGUUUGUCUGUACCA
rnacentral:lncRNA from 1 species